UCUCUGGUGGUUCAGUGGCUAAGACUCUACGCUCCCAAUGCAGAGGGCCUGGGUUCAAUCCCUGGUCAGGGAA
rnacentral:tRNA from 1 species